AAGCAAUUAAUAUGAAAAAUACAACAGGUCGAUUACUGAAUGCCACUCUGCUCUUGAUUUAUUCCAAGGCUCUACUUGAAAACAACAUGUACAAAUGGACUGGAAAAUUGCAAAAAGUUUCACAAGUUUAGCAUAAGUGUAGAGAAAUCAAAGCCUGAAGGAUACAUAAAAUGACACAAUCCAUCCUGCAAUGAGAGAAAAUACGCCUCAAGGAACUUCCUAAAAAGAAGCUAAAGAAGCCAGAUAAGAAAAAUAAGAAGAAAGAGGACAC